rnacentral:ncRNA from 1 species
GGUGUUCCGGCCCCGUGGUGGACUGCCGGAGCCAUGUACGGCGGCAGGAGAGGAAGCCCGGUGCGAAUCCGGCGCGGUCCCGCCACUGUGACCGGGGAGCGACCCCGGGAGCCAGGAACUCUCACCGCCGGUCUCGUCGAA